rnacentral:rRNA from 1 species
AAUCAACGCUGGCGGCGUGCCUCAGACAUGCAAGUCGAACGAUUAAAGCUCUCUUCGGAGAGUGCAUAGAGUGGCGCACGGGUGAGUAACACGUAAGUAAUCUACCUUCGAGUGGGGAAUAACGUCCGGAAACGGACGCUAAUACCGCAUAAUGCAGCGGCAUCGCAAGAUGACAGUUGUUAAAGGAGCAAUUCGCUUGAAGAGGAGCUUGCGGCAGAUUAGCUAGUUGUAAGGUAAUGGCUUACCAAGGCUACGAUCUGUAACCGGUCUAAGAGGACGGUCGGUCACACUGACACUGAAUAACGGGUCAGACUCCUACGGGAGGCAGCAGUCGGGAAUUUUGGGCAAUGGGCGAAAGCCUGACCCAGCAACGCCGCGUGAAGGAU